GACGAACGCUGGCGGCGUGCCUAAUACAUGCAAGUCGAACGCUUUUUCUUUCACCGGAGCUUGCUCCACCGAAAGAAAAAGAGUGGCGAACGGGUGAGUAACACGUGGGUAACCUGCCCAUCAGAAGGGAUAACACUUGGAAACAGGUGCUAAUACCGUAUAACACUAUUUUCCGCAUGGAAGAAAGUUGAAAGGCGCUUUUGCGUCACUGAUGGAUGGACCCGCGGUGCAUUAGCUAGUUGGUGAGGUAACGGCUCACCAAGGCAACGAUGCAGAGCCGACCUGAGAGGGUGAUCGGCCACACUGGGACUGAGACACGGCCCAGACUCCUACGGGAGGCAGCAGUAGGGAAUCUUCGGCAAUGGACGAAAGUCUGACCGAGCAACGCCGCGUGAGUGAAGAAGGUUUUCGGAUCGUAAAACUCUGUUGUUAGAGAAGAACAAGGAUGAGAGUAAAAUGUUCAUCCCUUGACGGUAUCUAACCAGAAAGCCACGGCUAACUACGUGCCAGCAGCCGCCGCGG
rnacentral:rRNA from 1 species